rnacentral:snoRNA from 1 species
UUGCAGAUGUGAUGAGUUUUUCAUGUCUCUUCUCUGACUCAAAAAGUGGAGAAACAUUCAAAUCUCUGAUCUGGAUGCAG